AAAGGUAGCAUAAUCAUUAGUUUUUUAAUUGGAAACCGGUAUGAAUGGUUGGACAAAGGAAAAGCUGUCUUUAUAAUAUAAAUUGAAAUUUACUUUUAAGUGAAAAGGCUUAAAUGUUUCAAAGGGACGAUAAGACCCUAUAAAGCUUUAUAUUUUGUUUAAACUUAAUUAAAUUAAUAAAAUAAAAGUCAAGUUUAGAUAUUAUAUUUUAUUGGGGCAAUAUGAAUAUAAUUAUUAUUAACUGUUUAAGAAAAAUACAAUUAUAAGUGAAUUUAAUAUAAAUGAUCCUUUAUAGAGAUUAAAAGACUAAGUUACUUUAGGGAUAACAGCGUUAUUUUUUUUGAGAGUUCAUAUCGAAAAAGAAGUUUGCGACCUCGAUGUUGAAUUAAAAUGUCUAUAUAAUGCAGCAGUUAUAAGAGAGGGUCUGUUCGACCUUUAAAAUUUUACAUGAUUUGAGUUCAAACCGG
rnacentral:rRNA from 1 species